GCUAGUUGGUGGGGUAAAAGCCUACCAAGGCAACGAUCAGUAGCCGGCCUGAGAGGGUGAACGGCCACAUUGGGACUGAGACACGGCCCAAACUCCUACGGGAGGCAGCAGUGGGGAAUAUUGCACAAUGGGGGAAACCCUGAUGCAGCGACGCCGCGUGAGUGAAGAAGUAUUUCGGUAUGUAAAGCUCUAUCAGCAGGGAAGAAAUACUGACCAUAGGGUCAGCAGACGGUACUUGACUAAGAAGCCCCGGCUAACUACGUGCCAGCAGCCGCGGUAAUACGUAGGGGGCAAGCGUUAUCCGGAUUUACUGGGUGUAAAGGGAGCGUAGACGGCAGCGCAAGUCUGAAGUGAAAUGCCAGGGCUUAACCCUGGAACUGCUUUGGAAACUGUGCAGCUAGAGUGCAGGAGAGGUAAGUGGAAUUUCUAGUGUAGCGGUGAAAUGCGUAGAUAUUAGGAGGAACACCAGUGGCGAAGGCGGCUUACUGGACUGUAACUGACGUUGAGGCUCGAAAGCGUGGGGAGCAAACAGGAUUAGAUACCCUGGUAGUCCACGCUGUAAACGAUGAUUACUAGGUGUUGGGGGACCAAGGUUCUUCG
rnacentral:rRNA from 1 species